rnacentral:tRNA from 2 species
GGAGAGUUACUCAAGUGGCUGAAGAGGCACCCCUGCUAAGGGCGUAGGUCAUCAAUUUGGCGCGAGGGUUCGAAUCCCUCACUCUCCA